rnacentral:rRNA from 1 species
UACGUAGGGGGCAAGCGUUGUCCGGAUUUAUUGGGCGUAAAGAGCGUGUAGGCGGCCAGACAGGUCCGUUGUGAAAACUCGAGGCUCAACCUCGAGACGCCGAUGGAAACCGUCUGGCUAGAGUCCGGAAGAGGAGAGUGGAAUUCCUGGUGUAGCGGUGAAAUGCGCAGAUAUCAGGAAGAACACCCGUGGCUAAGGCGGCUCUCUAGUAGCGGUACUGACGCUGAGACGCGAAAGCGGGUGGGAGCGAACAGG